rnacentral:rRNA from 1 species
GACUUUCUCAUUAAAACAGAGCUUCGCGUAGCCGGCUGAGCCGCACAGACGUGAUGUGAUUUCUGCCUAGUGCUCUGGAUGUCAAAGUGAUGAAAUUCAGCCAAUUGCUGGUAAACUGCGGGAGUAACUAUGACUCUUUCUGGGACGCAACCUUAUCGCGAUAAAAGAGCUUAAC